GACUGAGGGUGCAAACGUUGUUCGGAAUCACUGGGCGUAAAGCGCACGUAGGCGGAUCUUUAAGUCAGGGGUGAAAUCCCGAGGCUCAACCUCGGAACUGCCUUUGAUACUGGGGAUCUCGAGUCCGGGAGAGGUGAGUGGAACUGCGAGUGUAGAGGUGAGAUUCGUAGAUAUUCGCAAGAACACCAGUGGCGAAGGCGGCUCACUGGCCCGGAACUGACGCUGAGGUGCGAAAGCGUGGGGAGCAAACAGG
rnacentral:rRNA from 1 species